rnacentral:rRNA from 1 species
GACGAACGCUGGCGGCGUGCUUAACACAUGCAAGUCGAACGGAAAGGCCCUGCUUUUGUGGGGUGCUCGAGUGGCGAACGGGUGAGUAACACGUGAGUAACCUGCCCUUGACUUUGGGAUAACUUCAGGAAACUGGGGCUAAUACCGGAUAGGAGCUCCUGCUGCAUGGUGGGGGUUGGAAAGUUUCGGCGGUUGGGGAUGGACUCGCGGCUUAUCAGCUUGUUGGUGGGGUAGUGGCUUACCAAGGCUUUGACGGGUAGCCGGCCUGAGAGGGUGACCGGGCACAUUGGGACUGAGAUAGGGACCAGACGCCUACGGGAGGCAGCAGUGGGGAAUAUUGCACAAUGGGCGGAAGCGUGAUGCAGCAACGCCGCGUGCGGGAUGACGGCCUUCGGGUUGUAAACCGCUUUCGCCUGUGACGAAGCGUGAGUGACGGUAAUGGGUAAAGAAGCACCGGCUAACUACGUG